rnacentral:rRNA from 1 species
AGACCCGAAACCCGGUGAUCUAGCCAUGGGCAGGUUGAAGGUUGGGUAACACUAACUGGAGGACCGAACCGACUAAUGUUGAAAAAUUAGCGGAUGACUUGUGGCUGGGGGUGAAAGGCCAAUCAAACCGGGAGAUAGCUGGUUCUCCCCGAAAGCUAUUUAGGUAGCGCCUCGUGAAUUCAUCUCCGGGGGUAGAGCACUGUUUCGGCAAGGGGGUCAUCCCGACUUACCAACCCGAUGCAAACUGCGAAUACCGGAGAAUGUUAUCACGGGAGACACACGGCGGGUGCUAACGUCCGUCGUGAAGAGGGAAACAACCCAGACCGCCAGCUAAGGUCCCAAAGUCAUGGUUAAGUGGGAAACGAUGUGGGAAGGCCCAGACAGCCAGGAUGUUGGCUUAGAAGCAGCCAUCAUUUAAAGAAAGCGUAAUAGCUCACUGGUCGAGUCGGCCUGCGCGGAAGAUGUAACGGGGCUAAACCAUGCACCGAAGCUGCGGCAGCGACACUGUGUGUUGUUGGGUAGGGGAGCGUUCUGUAAGCCUGUGAAGGUGUGCUGUGAGGCAUGCUGGAGGUAUCAGAAGUGCGAAUGCUGACAUAAGUAA